GACGCAGUGGUCUAAUGGUUAGCGUGUUGGACUCCAGAUCAAACGGUCCGGGUUUGAGCCCUGUGUUGUGUUC